UGGUUAUAUACAGUUACUUUCCUAUUGGACCCAUCGCUAUGCCAUUUCUCUCCUCUUUAAUUUGUUUUCAUAUGGUGUUUUCCUAGGUCCGCUGUUUAGAAUGGUGUUUUCCUAGGUCCCCUGUUUAGAAUGGUGUUUUCCCAGGUCCGCUGUUUAGAAUGGUGUUCUCCCAGGUCCGCUGUUUAGAAUGGUGUUUUCCCAGGUCCGCUGUUUAGAAUGGUGUUCUCCCAGGUCCGCUGUUUAGAAUGGUGUUUUCCUAGGUCCUCUGUUUAGAAUGGUGUUUUCCUAGGUCCUCUGUUUAGAAUGGUGUUUUCCUAGGUCCGCUGUUUAGAAUGGUGUUUUCCCAGGUCCGCUGUUUAGAAUGGUGUUUUCCCAGGUCCGCUGUUUAGAAUGGUGUUUUCCUAGGUCCGCUGUUUAGAAUGGUGUUUUCCCAGGUCCGCUGUUUAGAAUGGUGUUUUCCCAGGUCCGCUGUUUAGAAUGGUGUUUUCCCAGGUGUGCUGUUUAGAAUGGUGUUCUCCCAGGUGUGCUGUUCAGAACACUGUUUUCCUGCAAAUUUCAUUUUGGUAAAUGUUUGAAAAGGACAGUUUAUUGGCUGCCUCAUAACAUGAGUUACAUGUUCUGGUGAGAUGCAUUAUCAUAAUCUAAAUGUGAUUUUUGUCAUUCUGAACACCGUGGAUGGACCCGCUAAUUUGUUAUGCGCUCAAAGCACAUGGGUCCAGUAAAUUUCUUAAAUGGCCGGUAAAUUAAAAUCUUCCCGGUCACCUUGUCCGGUCGCCACAUUUUCCUAACAGAAACCCUGAUGUGUGCCUGUGUGCGUGCGUGACAGAGGAGUUUUACUGUGUGUGUGUGCGAGAGAGUUUUGUAGGGAUUUUUUAAACGUUAUUAUUACACAGUCUGACAAUAACAAGGGUAUCUGACAUCCGUCUCCUUUACAGCCAUGCACAGUAAUUUACUGUUACAAGCCUAUGAACUCAGAGCGUACCGAUGUGAAAAAUACAUUUUGCGAACUCACUUCAAAGACCCCAAACAAGGCCUCCCGAGUUGCGCAGUGGUCUAAGGCACUGCAUCGCAGUGCUAGCUGUGCCACUAGAUAUUCUGGGUUAGAGUCCAGGCUCUGUCGCAGCCGACCGUGACUGGGAGACCAAUGGGGUGGUGCAGAAUUGGCCCAGCGUUGUCCAGGUUAUAGGAGGGUUUGGCCGGCAGGGAAGUCCAUGUCCCAUCUCAUACGAGCGACUUCUGUGGUGGGCCGAGCACAGUGCACACUGACACAGUCGUCGGGUGUACAGUGUUUCCUCCGACACAUUGGUGCGGCUGGCAUCCGGGUUAAGUGAACAUUAUGUCAAGAAGCAGUGCGGCUUGGUUGGGUUGUGUUUUGGAGGACGCAUGGCUCUUGACCUUCGCCUCUCCCGAGUCCGUACAGGAGAUGCAGCAUUGAGACAAGACUGUAACUACCAAUUGAAUACCAUGAAAUUGGGUUAAAAAAAAGGAGAAAAAGAAGACUCCGAACAAUAACAACAGAAGGUGCACCUAUGAAUAAAUAAGUAGAGAGAUCAAGACACACCCGGACUGUCACCCGUCUAUGCAGACUAAAAUAGAUCGAAACCUAGACAUCAAAAGGGUCAAUAAUGUGUGAUUGAGUUGUGUAUUUUCUUUCCUA